CUGAGUGAAGGUUCCUUCGGGGCCCAACCUCCCACCCUUGUAUACUGUACCAAGUUGCUUCGGCGGGCCCGCCGUUCGCGCGGCCGCCGGGGGGGAACCCCUCCCCCCGGGCGAGCGCCCGCCGGAGACCCCAACGUGAACACUGUCUGAAGUUUUGUCGUCUGAGUUCGAUUGUAUCGCAAUCAGUUAAAACUUUCAACAAUGGAUCUCUUGGUUCCGGCAUCGAUGAAGAACGCAGCGAAAUGCGAUAAUUAAUGUGAAUUGCAGAAUUCAGUGAAUCAUCGAGUCUUUGAACGCACAUUGCACCCCCUGGUAUUCCGGGGGGUAUGCCUGUCCGAGCGUCAUUGCUGCCCUCAAGCCCGGCUUGUGUGUUGGGUCCUCGUCCCCCCCGGGGGACGGGCCCGAAAGGCAGCGGCGGCACCGCGUCCGGUCCUCGAGCGUAUGGGGCUUUGUCACACCGCUCUCGUAGGCCCGGCCGGCGCUGGCCGACGCUGAAAAGCAACCAUUAUUUCUCCAGGUUGACCUCGGAUCAGGUAGGGAUACCCGCUGAACUUAAGCAUAUCAAUAAGCGGAGGAAA
rnacentral:rRNA from 1 species